rnacentral:rRNA from 1 species
UGGGGAAUAUUGGACAAUGGGCGAAAGUCUGAUCCAGCAAUGCCGCGUGAGUGAUGAAGGCCUUAGGGUUGUAAAGCUCUUUUACCAGGGAUGAUAAUGACAGUACCUGGAGAAUAAGCUCCGGCUAACUCUGUGCCAGGAGCCGCGGUAAUACAGAGGGUGCAAACGUUGCUCGGAAUGACUGGGCGUAAAGCGCGCGCAGGUGGCCCGUUAAGUCGGCUGUGAAAUCCCCUGGCUCAACCAGGGAAGUGCAGUCGAUACUGGCGGGCUCGAGUCCCGGAGAGGGUGGUAGAAUUCCCAGUGUAGAGGUGAAAUUCGUAGAUAUUGGGAGGAAUACCGGUGGCGAAGGCGACCGCCUGGACGGGUACUGACACUGAGGCGCGAAAGCGUGGGGAGCAAACAGGAUUAGAUACCCGCGUAGUCC